UGAAUCUGAUAAAAGACCUGCUACAAUAGUACCUGUGGACUUUCUCCUCUCCACACCCAUUUAUGAAUGAUUGAAUAUAGCAAUAUGGGCCACAAAAAGUUAAACUGAGAAAGAACCAGAGACUCCUGGAGUUCGGGGAAUAACUUUUGCAAGACAGAGCGGUGGCAGUGGGCGUCCAACCCAGUCUCCCAGUUAUACCAUGCUCUUUUCCUCCCAUCUAAUCUUGUACCCAAAGUCUGUUGGGGUUGGGGGAUAGGGAAAACAUUUUUAAAAAUGAAGAAUUAACUUGUCACUGAAUUCCUUUGCUAGAAUUCGAUGAAAGUAAAACAGAAUAAAUAAA